AACGACUCUCGGCAACGGAUAUCUCGGCUCUCGCAUCGAUGAAGAACGUAGCGAAAUGCGAUACUUGGUGUGAAUUGCAGAAUCCCGUGAACCAUCGAGUCUUUGAACGCAAGUUGCGCCCGAAGCCUUCUGGCCGAGGGCACGUCUGCCUGGGCGUCACGA
rnacentral:rRNA from 1 species